UACGAAGGGGGCUAGCGUUGCUCGGAAUCACUGGGCGUAAAGCGCACGUAGGCGGAUCUUUAAGUCAGGGGUGAAAUCCCGGAGCUCAACUUCGGAACUGCCCUUGAUACAGCACGUCUUGAGUCCGGAAGAGGUGGGUGGAAUUCCUAGUGUAGAGGUGAAAUUCGUAGAUAUUAGGAAGAACACCGGUGGCGAAGGCGGCCCACUGGUCCGGUACUGACGCUGAGGUGCGAAAGCGUGGGGAGCAAACAGG
rnacentral:rRNA from 1 species